AAGCCCCAACUUUGAUGGGGGCUCAGCUUCUGUCUCUGUAGCAGAGAGCCUGGAAGCCCUGAGAUCCCUGCUCUAGCCAGGGCUCUUAGACUAGGCCUGGCAAUCCGGUAGGCAGGUUGCCCCUUUGGGACACCGAGGGUUAAACAGCUGGCUUGCUUUCUGAGUGGGCCUCAGUCAGGGCAGGUGAGCCUCAUCUCCUAAUCUGAAUCAUCCCAGCACUGCAGCCACCUGCUCCCCUUCCCCUUGCAGGCGGUGCUGGGAGACCAGAGCAGGGGAAAGCACAGAGUGGGGUUGAGGUGGCUUGGAAAGGAGUUUGGUGUAUCCAAGUGGAGUAGCUGCUGCCAGUGGUGCGGAGGGCACUCUUGGCGCUGGAAAUCCCUAUAUCCUGGGGUCUGCGGCCCAAAAUCCGAGGCACUCUAAGCGGUGGUGCUGGGGAAUGUCAGGCUAGCUGGGCCAGCACAGCUAAUGGUGUCUCAAAGGUCUGUUGCUGGUUUGUGAUGCUCCUCUUCUAGAUCAAUCAAUAAAUGGCCAUUUGUAGCCAUGUGGACUUUUGGCCUGGAGGUCACAAAUACCUGUUGGUGGGGCAUCACGCCGCCUCUGAAGUGACAGACUCUCUUCAUUAACCUCGGUCUGGGUGAGCAGUCCCUGAUCUGACGCAGCCAGGAGCAUCGCUGUACUGGGAGAAGCAUGAAACUGGAGCAGGGAGGCCAAGCCGCAGGGUGUUGGCUCUGCUGGAGGCUGUGACUCCACUGAUAAGGCCUGUGUAACAAGCACCGGAGAUCAGGGAUGGAGCCUCUGAAGCAGAUGGAGGGAGUUACGGAACUGCUCUCCCUCAGACUAUCAGUAAGGACACUCCUUUUCCGAAGGAUGAUGUUUAGCACAUUCUGGGAGAGGGUUGAUCUCUCCUGAAAGAUACCGGUUUAGAACAGGACACCUUCUUCUGUUGUGUAACCAGGGGUUGCCCAUGGAGGUACCCAGAGGAUCCACGUUCUGAAGCUUUGGCUCUCCACAGGACCCACAAUAGAUAGAAGAUGUUAACACAGAUGCCCCAUGCCUCCUCUCCAUCGCCCUGGCCCCAAAGUCAGGUGCUUUGCAAAAAAAAAAAAAAAAGUGCCACCAGCGGGGGAAAAGGCCGGAUUGCUCUACAAGACAUGCAUUUCCUUCUGGGGGCGGGGGCGGGGGAAUGUAAAGAAGCCCGAUUUUGGCCCUGGGAUUUGGCAAAGCAGAGCGGCUCACUGAAAAGGGUCAGUUUCCCCAGUGCUAGGGAAAAUGUGUUCUCGGAGCCCAUACUAAAUAACAGCAGCAUGACUCGUGGUCCUGUUACUCCGCAGCCAAAACUGCUCCAUCUCAAUCACCCCACAGAGCGGGAGUAAAGCAAUUGUAUUCAGACACCUGCAAGAUCAACAUUUCCUGUCUAGGAAAUAUGUCUUGGCUUGAAGUUUAUUUUCCUUUCGCAUUUACCUGAGGCAGCCAUUGCUCUGUGGCAAGGGUCUGUUCCUCUGACAUUACAAAAAUGCUUUUGCAUUGGCGUUUGUCAUUUACCAGGGUUGAAAACGGGCAUUGAGGAAAUGCCCUUCUGUUAAUCUCUUCUUGGACAGUCCUCAUAACACACCCCACGCUGU